UAUAGGUACUUCCCACACAAUAGAUCUUCAAUCUGCCCCUCCUCCUCCCCUCUUUCUCUUUUAAAAUUUAUUUGAAAGGUAGAGUUACAGAGAGAAGGGGAGAGGCAGAGAGCAAGAGAUCUUCCAUCUGCUGGUUCACUCCCCUAAAUGACCGCAGUUGCCAGGGUUGGGCCACGCUGAAGCCAAGAUCCAGAGCUUCUUCCAGGUCUUCCACAUGGGUGGCAGGGUCCCAAGGACUUGGGCCAUCUUUUGCUUCCUUCCCAGGCACAUUAGCAGGGAGUUGGAUUGAACAGGUGCGCAUACGGCAUGCACUGCUUAACCGGCUUUGCGAGAACUCUGGGCCCCUGUUCCCCUCUUCUCUUAUCUCCAUUGCACUACCCUAGAUCAGGAAUUGAUUACCUCCAGUCUAGAUUUUUACUGUUCUUUCCUAUUUGGUCUCAUCCUUAGUUCUUUCCCCUCGUUCCUUCUUGUUUUAUUGUCACAAACAUCUUCCCAAAGCAGUGGCCAGAUCAUGAGUGGUUCCACUAUUGAGGAACUACUCAAUCUGACAUUGGCCAAGUUUUGUAUCUCCAGCUCCCGUUUCUAGCCUUAGCUCUCACUACACCCUUACAUAUAUAGCAACCACUGGCUAUAAUUCCUACCACCUUUCUACAAAAGAACCAGCUCAUUCAGCCAUCCUCCUGCCUGUGGCAAAUGCCUCCCAUCCCACUACGAGCCCCGACAUCUGUUGAAAUCCUUGAAGACCUGUCUCAUAUUGCAGCUCCUACCUAGAGCCUUUCCUGAUUUUUCCAUACCACUGAAGUCCCGCCAUGCCUGUGUGUGCCUCCCCCAUGGCACUGAUAUGCUGGCUUGCAGUAUAUUUUGUGUAUUCAUUUUAUUCCCAUUACUAGGCAUUUCUGCUUGCAGAUCACUGUGUUUUCAUUAUGUUAGUGCCCCGUGCAGCAUCUAUCUUGCACCUCAUAAAAAUAGCCACUGGAUGAGCUGUACACCUUUAUGAUGUCUGAAAAUCAUUCAUGCCCCUACCUCUAAUAGUGACAUCGCUCAUCUUCAAAGAGGAUGCCUUUGCACCCUGGAAGAGGCAUACCUAAAGUCAAGCUUUUGAAGAGAAAUAGGCUAAUUACAUUUCUUUUCAUGUUAUUGUUGACUGAGAAUUCCUUCCAAAUGCUUCCCCUCCUUAGGGGACUUUUACAGCUCAGCUAUAGCUUGUUACCCUAGAUAGCAUGGGGGGGGGGACCAGAACUGGCAGGACCAGCAUACUACUUCUAGGAUCAAUGCACGAAAAAGGCCUUUUAAAAGGCAUUCAGAUUGUGACACCAAUCAAUAAAAUAGGCUUCUAUCUAAUAAAUGUUUAGAAAGUGUAUUUUUAGAGCUUGAACUCUUGCAAACCUAUGAUCCAAGAAUAGGAUUACAGAUACCGUGCCCUAGAAUAACUCCAUGUAUUUUUCCUGGAAGUACACUGAAUUUGAAGCAGUUGAUGAACAGGUAUGUAGUAUUUUAAGCAGUUAGUGUACCUUGCACAUAGGACCUUAUGAACAUUUAUUCAACCAACCCUAACGGAGGCUUGCUACUUUCCAAGUACUUAAGCUUGUCACUAAGGACACAGAGACAGAAAAGCUGUGGUCUUCCUUCACUCUCAGGAAGCACACAUGGUGAAAGUAUGACUUGGCAUUGGUAUGCCAUUCUGUGCCUUUCAGCGUGAUUCCAUGAUAUCUAAUCCUAACGACACACCACUAAAGUUGGUAUGAAUGGCCUCAUUUUGCAGAGUGGAAAACUUGCUCAGAGGGAUCGAAUGAAUUGCACAGAAGCAUAGAGCUAUGAAUUGGCAAGGCCUCAGACUGGUACCCAGAUUCCGGGGUCUCAAAAUGGAUUUGGUUGGAUUAGAAUGUAGCUUUUCUGAGAAAAGAGAUUUGGCCCAUCUUGUUCAUUAUUGUAUUCUGAGGACCUAGAAAAUUACCAGGAAUGUAGUAGGUUUUUAAUAAACAUGUCAGCAUUAGUCAGCAGUGUGUGUGUGUGUGUGUGUGUGUCUGACAGACAGGAAAAGAUAGAGAAGGAAAAGAGAGAGAGAGAAAAAAAAAAAACAGGGAAGAGAAUAUAAACCAGCCAUCUAAUUCAUUAGUCAUUUAUGUAUUUUAAUUAAUUGUGUGCUAAGCUGAUCUUAUCUAUAUUAGUGCUACUCAAAAUGUGUUCCACAGACUGGUGCUCAUCCACAAGUUGUUUAUUACCAGUUGACCUUGAGAUAAGUACAGAGAAUGAGAAUAAGCAUUUCGACUCUCCUUUGGCAACUUGCCAUGGCUGUGAUAGCUGAGGAAGUGAUUAGUGAACUUGUCUGGUUGAACCAGGCCAUAGACCAGCUGAGGUGCUGUCCAGCCUGGGCGGUGAGUCACACGGGGAUAAGCUGUCUACUAAUCUUGCAGCACCUAAUUUAAUCGUACCAUUUAGGCUGUCUACCACCCACCUUCUCCUCCUCCUGGACAUUCUUUACUACUUAACAUAGAGAACAAGCACUUUUGCCUUGGAAGCAAGAGUCAGUAACAGAUUUGAAAAUUUUAAAAAUAACUUCUUUACCACAGAGGUUCUAUCUCCAGCUCCUAUGAUGUAGAAGCAUUGCUGUGCAGUAAUUAAGUGUGUGGUCUAUGCAGGGAGACUCUAGAGGGUUAAGUGCAAGUUUCUGCUACUUAUCAACUGUGCAACUUUGGGCAGCUUCAGUUUCUUUAUCUGUAAUAUGGUCCUAAAAAUGUGCCGCAUUUCAUAGGGCUUUAGUAAAAAUGAAUAAUGUAUGUAAAGUGCUUUUCCUAGAUUUUGGCACAUAAUGACAAAACCCCGGGUUCUAGUCCUGGUUGGGGUGCUGGAUUCUGUCCCGGUUGCUCCUCUUCCAGUCCAGUUCUCUGCUGUGGCCAGGGAGUGCAGUGGAGAAUGGCCCAAGUGCUUGGGCCCUGCACCCGCAUGGGAAACCAGGAGGAAGCACCUGGCUCCGGGCUUUGGAUCAGCGCAGUGGGCCGGCUGUAGCGGCCAUUUGAGGGGUGAACCAAUGGAAAAGGAAGACCUUUCUCUCUGUCUCUCUCUCUGACUAACUCUGCCUGUCAAAAAAAAUAUUGUAACUAACAUUAUAUUUCAUUCUGCAUACAUGACAAUUCAUGCUAUUAACAAUAUUUUAAAUAUUGACAUAGAGGUAAUUCUACAAAUAUCCAGGCUCGUAAAUAGACAGUCACUUUUCAGUUACCCACUAACAAAGAUGAGCUCCUUCCAAAGUCCUUGGCAUUUGUUUUGUAAUGUGUUGUGUGAUCCGAGGGACAAUGCAUGGCUUCCAGGUGGUCAUUAAAAGCAGGUUCCACUUCUUCAGCUCAGUUGUCUAGGUGGUCAAAGAAGGCAGCUAGCAGGUGCACGUUUGCACUGCAGACAAUGACAUCAGAAUGAAGAGUACACACAGAUAAUCUAGAGUGGCUUGUUUGGUGAUUAGCCAUUGCCUACUUACAUGUUUCACACAGCAGACCUGAUAUGAGGGUCCAUUUCUGCCACACUCCAGCCAGCUCAUUCUUUGCCAUCACCUUCUGUGACCCUUGUCACGAGGAAGGAAGCAGCUCCUCAGCCAUGCAAGCUCUCCAGCUCCUAGAAAGAGUCAAGGAUUCCUGCAGCAAUGUUGGAUAAUGUUGAGUGUCAGGCAGACCACAGCGGACCACUGAGGAGAGCCCAGGGUAGGCAGGAGGCCUGAAGGUGCUGACAGGCAGCGAACCUGGAAGGAAAGAGCUUGCACUCAGCUGUGCUACCAGGGAGAAGACUGUCGUCAGACGCCCAGCCCUCAGUAAGUGGAAGGAAAAGGCAUCCAUGAGGGUUUGCCUUGCUUUGUGGAAGCCAAGUAACAUUAUUUACUCAGUUAGGAACUCAAGCCCUAUAACGUACACAUUAAGCAACCCCACUACCUUAAUCUAUAGCAGGCCUCUGCAGUUAGGAUUGUGAGAUUUGGAUGCUUGGUGCAAUUUGAAUUUCAGAUAAACAACAAAUGCCUUUUCAGUAUAAAUAUGUCCCAUGUAAUAGUUAGGAUUUGUUUAUCUGAGAUUCAGAUGUAACUGGGCGUCCUGUAUUUUAUGCAACAGUGCUUCGGGGGGCCAAACAAGUAGGCUCUGGAGUCACGCUCUGUGAGUCAUUUCGGAUCCUGUACCAGGCCCAGUGUCCCUGUGUGUAAAGUUAGGAUAACAUUUACCUCGCAAACUCGUGUGAAGAUUAAAUAAUACAUGUGAAAAUGAUCAAAAAGACAUGUAAAAUUUUAGAAUGGUAACUGACGCAGAUAGGAAAGAUGUUUAUUUACAAACCUAAUUACUUUUUAAAAAUUGACAUUAUGAUUCUGUUAAAAAUAUAGUUUUUUUCUUAUGUCCAUGAUAUUGUGCUUUCAAUUGUGUUUCCAAUAAACUAAACUGACCACAACUUUCAGACUUUCUAUCCAUGGAACAGGAAUAUACACAGCUACCGUCUUAGAGUGGCAUCAGGCUUCUUACUCCUUGCCUUGAUGAUUAAGAGUUAAACCCAAUUUGAAGAUGUCCUAAGCCUUAAAGUUUCAGAGAGAAAUUUGGGUAAACGUUUACAAAACAUCCCUUGAGUGUUUACUGGAUGGAAGACAAAAGCCAAAGAUGGUUCUAGAGUUGGGUUUUGUUAACAAGAAGUUUUAUUCUUUACAAUGGUAUUUGUUGUGACAGGAUUGCUGUACUCUGUAGAUGAUAGAAUUCAGGUUCUCUUUUUAAAAAAAAAAAAAGAUUUAUUUUAUUUAUCUGAAAGACAGAGUUACAGAAGGUGGGGGGAGGAGAGACAGAAAGAGAAAGAUCUUCCAUCCACUGGUUCACUCCCCAAAUGGCUGCAAUGGUCGGGACUGGGCCACGCUGAAGCCAGGAGCUGGGAGCUUCUUCUGGGUCUCUCAUGUGGGCGGCAGGGCCCAAGCACUUGGGCCAUCUUCUGCUACUCUCCCAGACACCCUAGCAGGGAGCUGGAUUGGAAGUGGAGCAGGCAGGGCACAAAUUCCCUUAAGGAAUACUGGUGUCUUCGCAGGCAGCGUUUUUACCAGCUAUACCCCCAUGCCAGCCCCUGCUUCUUCAUUUAUUAGAUGAGAAUACUAAUACCUGCUUUAAAGAGAAAGAGUGGAGUUUAAAAAAAAAAAAAACAACAAAGAAUAUGAAGAAAGAAAUUUGAGACAGUACAAGGGACAAUAAUUAUAGUAUUGGGUACCAAGUCAGCACUCCGUACAUGCUUGUUAAUAUGAAUCUGCUUAUUCCCCUCAGGGAAGACCGAAUGCCAGAGCAGCCUUAGAGGAAGAGGAAAGCCUGGGUUUGUGCCACUUUAUAUGGCUGAGCAAAAGCCCUUAACUCUGUCCACGUCUGCUUCUGCCUGAGAACUAGUAAUUUCCAAACAAUGAGACAUCCUAAGUGAAAUGCAAGGAACAGCUCUAUCCUCCUGACCUUCAGUGACUCGUAUGCCUGUGUGUGUGUGUGUGUGUGUGUGUGUGUGUGUGUGUGUCCAAAGGUGGGCUGAGGGGUGGGGAACAGUAGUGGGGUAGAGGAAAGACCAGGAAAGGAGCUGGAAAUGUCCUUUUCCUUUCACUAAUGAGUUAAGCCAGAUACCAAAUUUGUGUAGACAAUGCUAGUUCAGGUCCAGAAAGUGGAAAGCAUUCUCCCAGCAAAUUUACAAUAUUAAUUUUGAGCUGAAAGACCAAAUCGCAAACUCAAACCAGAUUCACAAAUUAUGACCUCAGUUUUUCCAGUUUCUGAUGAUUGGACUGGUUCUAGAUUAACCAGAGGUAGAAUGUGUUAAGGGGAUGGCUAAGAGAGAAAAAUAGAAUUCAUGAGAAUACUCCAACUCGGAGAAUGAAGUUUUCUGCAGUAGCAUUUGCUGCUAAUAACUGAGGCUCAAGCAAGGGAGUGUCAUGUUUUUUAAAGAGGAGCAAGGGGUGAGUCCUAGGGUUUUGCCGAGAAGGUUCCCGAGGGACUCAGCUUUGGUUGGAAGGACAUAAGGAGGGCCUAGUUUUUUGGGGGCAGUAUAGGGAUGGUGAGGUUAACCAGAGGAAUAGAGCUGGUGGUUGUAGAAUGUGCUAGAAGACUAUUUUGAAAGUCAAUGAAUUAACUUCAUAUAUCGAGUAUCAACCAUGUGUGCAACAGCUUCAUGUGUUCAAGGGUACCAGGACAUAUAAAGCAGAGCACUGGCUCCCUGUAUGUUCAGUUUAGGGGAAAAUAACCAGAGGUUUAAGAAACCUUGCAUGGCUAACAUUUGAGUGAAAACAAAACAAAAAAAAUAAAAUAAAUAAAAAGGGCUGAAUUCUAAAACAGAAGAGAAAUAGAAUUUGCUACCAAACAGGAGGGGUCAUGCCCCCCCAUCAUGAUAAUUAAUGAAGUGUCAGGUAUGCAGGGGGUGUGAUGAAAGACCCCUCUUGGGCUUUGAACUUGGCAAAGGGCAGAGGUGAAGCAUUUCUCAAGGGCUUCCCUUGCCUUCUGCACUGGGGGUGCAUGGGUGUGAAGGAAGAAAAGCCAGGGCAGGAGCCUCUCUCUCCACAGACAUCUGAAAGGAUGGUAAUCCUGCUGGGAGCUGGAAGCCUUCUCACCGCCCCGCUCUUCACCCCCUGAGCGCUAAUUGCCGAAUUGGACAGAUGAUCCCCAUUUCAGUCCAAGCAAGUAUCUCACUGAUGCUCAUUUGCUGACUCUAAUGAGUUCCAGAACCCAUUUGUGAUCUUAUAAUCAGCUCAGGUUUAUCACCGAAAGAAAGCCUGCGAGUCCCGUGCGUGCGGGAGGAAGACAGCAGCGAGACAUUGAAAUGAAAAUGAAUUCAAAUGAAUUCUUGGGGGGCUCAGAAAGGCCUCACCACACUCUAACACCACUGAACACAAAAAUAGUAGGUGUCGGACGUCCUGAGGAGCUGGCUCCAGGAUAGUACCUGUCUCUCCGACUGUGGGGAGUGUCCUUUUGUUCGCUCUUUGAAUUUCACAGCUUCCUCUACUCUGCCUAAAAAGGAAAACUCACUUCUUCGAGCUGUUACAAUAAAACUAUUGGCAGCCUGUAAAGUGAGAACAGAGCCUUGCCUUAAUUUACUGCACCACGCAGAUUUAUUACACAUCAGGGUAAUAAUAACAACACUGAUUGCUGCCUGAUAAUCUCCCUCCUUGCUCCGGUAGGGGUGUGGCGGAGGGGGCUUGCAGGCUCCCACAGACUCCCUGUACAGUGCUGAGUGCUGCUGGGCACACUCUGGCUCAGAGCCAGGAGAUGAUGCUGUACUACUGGGCCCUGCCGUGCCGGGAAGGGACACAGAGCUGGUGAGGAGAUGUGGUCUGAGAAUAGAAAACCCUGGAAACCAUUUGCCAGGCCUUUGAGACCAGUGCUCCCGCAGUGGCUCAUUGCCAGGGGGAUAAGCAUGCCCCAGCAGCCUGCUUUCCAAAAAAAUGUCCCCUGAAAUAGGAUGACGAGAACCCAGUUUUUGAGCCAGACAAGUGAGGGCGUCCUUUAGGGAAUCUGGGACUCUGAAAGUUAAAUAUAUUCAGGGAGAGUUUCUGUGGAACAACCCACCAAACCCAGAGUUGAAGGCAGUCACCCUGCAGACCCAGGGUCUCCCUGGGAGCCAGCCUGGCCCCUGGCCCGUGUCUCUGUCUUUCCAUCGCGGCUUUUGAGUCCUGGGGAGCCUGGGAUGCUGUCCCCAGGCACUCGGGCACUCAGCCUGUGCAUGCUGAUGGCCGUGACAUCCUCACAGGACAGGGUGCAUCAGGGGUGCUCUCCUACUGCUCAGCUCAUCCUGGAAGCCUCUCAUUAGAGUUUCUAAUUUUCAAGAUAAUGGGAGCUUAAUGGGGAUUAUUUUGAUUUUCUCUUACCAGCCAGCACUUUUAUAUCCGAAGCCCUGCUGCCCCCAGCUGCACUGCCUGAACAAAUUGCAUCCUGAGCGAGAGAAAGCUGUGGCCCAGGGAAUUGCUGAUGUGACCUCAGAAAAGCACUGCUCUGAUCCUCCUGCCCAGAAAGAAACAUUUUAAACAGAUCCUCAGCGGACCAAUCAGUGAGUGACAAGCAUUUGAGGGACUCAGCCGACUGCUGCUCCUUCCGUGUCAUGUGUCGUGAAAAUGCGCAAGGGGACAGGCAUUGGCUUAGCUGUGGAGAAACCAAGGAGGAGGCCCCCGACCCGUACCUGAGCCCCUGGGUUCAACACCUGGCUUCUGACUCUGGCUUCGUGGUGAUGCGGACUCUGGAGAGCGGCAGCGAGGGCUCAGCCCAAGUGUGAACAUCCUGCCAUCGGGAAUUCCAUUUCAAGUAGCACUAGAGAGUGUUGACGCCUCCCUCUGGCCCCAAAGUACUUGAACAUUGAGAAGGUGAGAAGGAGAGACAGGCUUGAGUCCUUCAAGAAACAGUUGGCCAACUUCAAAGCAUGCCUGUGUCACCGCCAGCGCCCGGGGGGUGCGGACAGUGUGCAGAGACUUGGCCCACGAGCCCUGCUGAUGUGGAGAUAGGGCGGCUUCAGUGCAGAGCACUGCUCGGCUCCGUGCUGCCUUCCUCGGGCUGGAGGUGCUGACUUUGCGGAUGGAGUCACCGCCGCAGCCACAAGGCCCCUUCUCGCUCACCCACUUCCUCCUGUUCACGCUGCUUCUCAGAAGAGCAGCCAAGGCUGACUCCAGCCCACUUUGCAUCUCUUACAACGGAGGUUUGGGACAGCACAUCACGAAUGAUCUUUGUAAGUGUGUUCCUCUCGUGCUCCUGGGGCUGUGCAGAGGAGCAAAUAAAUGUCUACGUGUCUUAAGUGAUCUGAAACAACGCUCCUCGGAGCGUGCAGCAGGAGGCAAAGACAACCCUUGGGUUCAAGAGGGGCAGGAUCUCACAGAGUUGCAGUCCAGCAAAUUUUACUUGCAUUUGUUAAAAAAGAGAAGGAAAUAAAACAACAACAAAAAGCUAGUUACAACCCACCUUGUUGGCAUGAUAGGAAGAACAGACUAAAAGAUAUUCACUACUUUUAAAAUUGUAUUCAUUUAUUUAUUUUUGUUUAUGUGAAAGGCAGAGAGAGAGAGAGAGAGAGAGGGAGAGAGAGUGAUCAUCCUCUUUCACUCCCCAAAUGCUGAAGCAAGAAGCCUGGAACUUCAUAUAGGAGUUCUGUAUGGGUGGUAGGGACCCAAGUACUUGAGCCAUCACCUGCUGCCUCUUAGAGUAUGCAUUAGCAGGAAGCAGGAAUCUGCAGCCCAGAGUCAGGACUAGAACCCAGGUACUCCAAUAUGGAAUGUGCACGUGCCUGGUGGUGCCUUAACUGCUGCACCAGCAACCGCCCCCGUUUACCUCUUUUUAAACUGCCGUCCUGAGCGUCUCAGCUGGGAGCAGUGGCUUUGUAUUUCAGCACAGCUGUUGAUGCCCAAAUUGGAAGGAGAAAGGAAGAAAGUGUUUUGCAAAGGAAAAAAAAAUUAAACAAUUGUUACCUAAUCCUUUCUACCUUGACAAAAAUGAAAGGCUAACUUAGAAACUAAAGAAAUAUUCUGUUGAAACUUUACUGCACAACAUGAACUCAUUACAAGCUGCCUCAGCUCUCCGUCCUCUGGGAAUCUUUCAACUCAGAGUACACAAAAAAUGGGAAGAAAUUAAGUUGCUGCACCAUUUGAUACAUGUGCCUUGCCCACUGAGCAGCCCAACUCUGGGUCUUAGCAGGAAUGGGAGGAAGAGGCAGAGGGAACCGACGUUUAUUAAGUGCCAACUCUGUGUUCAAGAAUUGCAUUGAAUCCUCCCCUACGAGACCCUACUAGAUGAAAGGCACAGAGAGGUUAAGAAACUUGCCCAAGAUUACACAGGAAGGAGGUUGUAAAAGUGGGAUUUGAACUUCAAACCUGGAUGCCUACCAAUGACCUUUUCUGUUACCCGCCAUCAAGGAAGCUUGCCUGAAGCAUGCCAUCGCAUAAUUAUCUCCUGUUGUGUUCUCAACUGGAAAUCUUAAGCUUUUAAGAUCCCCAAACUGGUGAGCACACACUAGAGGCUCGAGACGCAUUCAUUGACAGACUCCAGCGAGCCUUCAGAUCUGGGGUUCCCAUCCCAGCGGUUCUCCCCUGCCGAGCGAGGCUGGUCCUUGGCCACAGCAUCAGAUGUUCUAGAUGGCUUCACGCUGAUAACCAGUCUUAUUGUGAAUACUACAAGAAGUGGAAACUGAUUCUACACACUCCCUGACCUCUCUCGAUUUGGGCCUUGGGCCAUCUCAACUCAGACUGUGUAUUCUGAGAAAUACAUCUAUGCAAGGGGAAUUGAUCAUGAGUCAUCCUUAACUCCAGCCUACGCAUUUGGCCCAGAUACUUUUCAUUCAUUCGACAGACUUUCUUGGCCAUCUAUAUUGGAGGCUGCAUGUGCUCCCAGGUUCAUGUGUUGGAACCCAGUCCCUGCUGUGAUGGUAAUUGGAGGUAGAAUCCUGAUGAACAGGACCAGUGUCCCUAUAGGAGAGACCCCAGGGGUGAUCGUUUGGCCUAAUGGUUAAGACGUUGAUUAAGAUGCCUCCUGGAUUCGACGCCCUGUUCUGGCUCCUGACUUCUGCUAGUGCAGACCCCGGGAGGCAGUAGUGAUGGCUCAGAUGAUCGGGUUCAUGCCAUCCACAGUGGGUUGAGUUCUUGGCUUCUGGCUCUGGCCCCUGCCCAGUCCUAGCCAUUGUGGGAAUUUGGGGAGUAAGCCAGUGGCUAAGAGCUCUCUUCUCCACCCCCUCACCCUCCCCUCCCCUGCACAUAGCCAUUUCUCAAAUACAUAGUUUUUUUUUGUUGUUGUUAAAGAUAAAAGAGACCCCAGAGAGCUCCCUUUCCCCUUCUGCCACACAAGGACACAGGGAGAAGGCUGCUGUCCGUGGACCAGGAAGCUGGUCUUCAACAGACACUGAGUUCCCCAACACCUUGACCUUGACCUUUCUAGCCUCCAGAGCUGCAACAAGAGAUUGGAAAUGCUGCACUGAAGAUGGGAUUCUUCGGUCAUGUUUGACAGGGAGACGCACAGCAAGAAGGCUGGUUACAUUCUUCAAUACCCUCGAACUGGGAAUCCAUGAGUCUUGUAGCUCAAGAGAGGCUAGAUUCCCCCAAGGAGGCUGCAGUGACAGCUCCCACUGACCGUCCUGCACAUUCCUCCUGAAACCUUCAUGCCACUGAUCCACACAUUGCUCCCUGCUGAUGCCCCUGGGAAGCAGUAGAAGAUGCCCCAAGUCCUUGAGCCCCUGCCAUCCACAUGGGAGACCUUGAUGGAGUUCCUGGAUCCUGGCUUUGGUGGGGCCCAGCCCUGGCUUUUGUGACCAUUUGGGGAGUGACUCAGUGAACCAGCAGAUAGAAGAUCUCCCUCUCCCUCUCCCUCCCUCCUUCCCUCCCUGUCUCUCUUUCCCAAUUGUUCUGCCUUUCAA